ncrna:unclassified sequences EGFOA RNA
GCACUCCCAGAAGAUCCGUACGUGUCCGCGCAAGCGGAGGCAGACGGGGACGAUCCGAUAGGAACGCGGCAAAGCACGACCUGGGCGCGUCCGAGUCCCCCG